rnacentral:rRNA from 1 species
UGCCAGACUCCUACGGGAGGCAGCAGUGGGGAAUAUUGCACAAUGGGGGAAACCCUGAUGCAGCGACGCCGCGUGAGCGAUGAAGUAUUUCGGUAUGUAAAGCUCUAUCAGCAGGGAAGAAAUUGACGGUACCUGAGUAAGAAGCUCCGGCUAAAUACGUGCCAGCAGCCGCGGUAAUACGUAUGGAGCAAGCGUUAUCCGGAUUUACUGGGUGUAAAGGGAGCGUAGGCGGCCUGCCAAGUCUGAUGUGAAAUGCCGGGGCUCAACCCCGGGGCUGCAUUGGAAACUGACAGGCUGGAGUGUCGGAGAGGCAGGCGGAAUUCCUAGUGUAGCGGUGAAAUGCGUAGAUAUCAGGAGGAACACCGGUGGCGAAGGCGGCCUGCUGGACUGCGACUGACGUUGAGGCCCGAAAGCGUGGGGAGCAAACAGGAUUAGAUACCCGCGUA